rnacentral:rRNA from 1 species
UUGACCUCGGAUCAGGUAGGAAUACCCGCUGAACUUAAGCAUAUCAAUAAGCGGAGGAAAAGAAACCAACAGGGAUUGCCCUAGUAACGGCGAGUGAAGCGGCAACAGCUCAAAUUUGAAAUCUGGCUCUCGGGCCCGAGUUGUAAUUUGUAGAGGAUGCUUUUGGCAAGGUGCCUUCCGAGUUCCCUGGAACGGGACGCCAUAGAGGGUGAGAGCCCCGUCUGGUUGGACACCGAGCCUCUGUAAAGCUCCUUCGACGAGUCGAGUAGUUUGGGAAUGCUGCUCUAAAUGGGAGGUAUAUGUCUUCUAAAGCUAAAUACUGGCCAGAGACCGAUAGCGCACAAGUAGAGUGAUCGAAAGAUGAAAAGCACUUUGAAAAGAGAGUUAAAAAGCACGUGAAAUUGUUGAAAGGGAAGCGCUCAUGACCAGACUUGGGCUUGGUUGAUCAUCCGGCGUUCUCGCCGGUGCACUCUUCCAGUUCAGGCCAGCAUCAGUUUGCCCCGGGGGAUAAAAGCUUCGGGAAUGUGGCUCCUUCGGGAGUGUUAUAGCCCGUUGCAUAAUACCCUGAGGCAGACUGAGGACCGCGC